GACCACCCCAACACCCAAAGACAAAACUCUAGUAGUGCUAUGGUGGCCCGACAAGUCUUCACUCCCCAACAUCCCUAACAUUGGCCUGACGGAUCUCUACUCCCCCCUCCACCCCUAGCGGCAGCUUGAUGGGAGCUUGGUGGUGGAUGAAGAGGAUGCCAAUGGUGGAGAGAAAUGACGAUCUGAUGAGAACCUCCCUAUUUGGCUGCUCCAAGCCAACCAUCCGAUUGAAACAGCAG
rnacentral:lncRNA from 1 species